rnacentral:lncRNA from 1 species
UCAUUUUCCUCACGCCAAAACCAUCCUCCUAACCCUAAAACCACCCAAAACCAUGGCUGCCCUUCCCACCUUCUUCCCCGUCACCCCCAGCUGCCAUGAUCGGCGAGCCAGUUCCCCCUUCACCUGAACUUCACGCCAAACAACCCCUCCCAUCGUCCCCUCACGCUGGCGACAUCGACACAGCUAAACCAGUCAAAAUCCGUCACCUUCGCCAUUCUCGUCGACCAUCAAUAGCAGCAAACACCUUCUGAAACCAGCUUCUCAAACCACUAUUUCCGUCAACCAAACAGUCUGAUCGCUGCUGCCUCCAAACGACCAGCCAACGCAGCAGAUGUCUCCACUUCGUCAACUACCAAACGACUCUCAGCAGUGUCGACCAGUCAGCCCGCCUCCUUCACCAGUCGAAUUGCUUGGAACCAGCCCUAUUUCCGUAUUCUUUUCUAGCUUUCCGGCGAGCUAGAGGUUUGUUAAGUUCCUUCUUUGAAGUGUCGUCCGACGAGGUCGUCCUUUUGAGGUUGGAGGUCGUCAUCCAAGGAGUCUGUUUCAGUUGCAGUUCGAGGUCGUUGUUUGAAAUUUCCGGCCAGAUUCGAGUUUAUUUUGGUUUCAAAGUUUUCUGGCAGAUUUGUUUCCAUUCGAGUUCGUCGUUGUUUUGAUCCGGUUAGUUGGUUUAAAUUUCAUUUCUAUCCAUAUUUUUUUUGAUAUUUUCGGAUCUAAAAUCAGUAUGUAUUUGGUUAUUUUCUUGUUCGUUGUUUAUCAUACUCUUGUUUAUUUCUUCAGUUUUUUUUUAUUUAAACGGAUUUAGUUUUAAUAUAGAAGUAUGUUCGUUUAAUAAAUCUUUCAUUUUGAUUGCAAUAUUGUUAGAUUUAAUUUGAAGUUUAAUUGAUUAUUGAGUUUAGAGAAUUGAAUCCGUUUUGUUCUAUUUAAGUCUUAGUUUGGAUCUGAGUUAGAAAUUGGAAUUUGUUUGUUUGAUCUGUUUAAGUUUAAUUUGAACUUGAGCUUAAUGAUUUAAAUAUAUUGCUUGUUAUUGUUGUUGAAUCUGAAAAUAUGUUUGUUGUUAAAAAUAUUUCACUCAAAAUAAUUUUGGUUCUUUGUUGUUCAUCAGAUUAAUUGUUGAAUUUGGUUAAGAAUUUGUUAUAGUUGCUAUAUUUCGGUUAAUUGAUUUAGAUGAAUUGGUUAUAGCUGACGAGGGUAUAAUGGUAAUUUUAGUAGUUUGAAGGGGAUAUUUUUGGAAUUAAAAAUAUAAAGAAUUGUUUGAAAAUAGUGGGGAGCAUAAUUAUGUAAAGUAAAAAGAGGGGACAAGACAUGUGGGGAGCAUAAUGAUUCAGGUAAAUAGAGAGUGGACCGUGGGGUCCACGUUUGACUGCUUUUGUUGAUUGGGAUUUAGAAAUAGUGUGUAAUAAUAAAAGGGGUAGUAAUAAAAGUUAAAAGAAUAGGGGAAAAAGUCUUGCCUUUUGGGUAUAUAAUAGGACUCAUUUUACACUUAUUGAGGGGGAAAUUAGAGAAAAGAAAAUAUUUUUCAGAACUUGAGGGAAGAUAAAAAGACUUUUGAAUCUUAAAAAUUCUGGGAGUUUUUGAAAGUUAGAAAUUAAAGAAAAAUAUGUCCUUCUUCACUGAGUAUAAUUAGCAUCAACUGCUAUCGUUCCAUAAAGCUUCAAGCUUCUUUUUCUUGAGUGAUAAAAAUCAGAAGUUAUUUUUUGGCAACUGGAUAUUUCUUUAUUGGUCUUUCUCCUGGGUUUUCUGCUAUUCCCGCUAAUACUAGGCUACUCCGUGUUGUUGAGUUGUUGUAGCUGUGUAUUGCUACUGCUAUCCUGCUGUCACUCAUCUUCUUUUGCUUCUAAUAUCAGGUACACAACUGGUACGCCUUGUAAGUUGAUAACAUGAAGAUUGCUUAUACAAAUGAAGAGUUGAAGUAUUAAUUUUAUUUAGUUUUGUUACUGAAUGUAUUUGGGCCACUCUAUAUACUAUUGUUAUAUAAGUUUCUGCCAUGUUCGUAUGACAGGACAACUUGUAGUGUUGUAUUAAAUAAUAUUCUGUUUUAAUUUGGUU